rnacentral:lncRNA from 1 species
GGGGCCCAAACGCGCGAUCCAGCCCUCGCGCAGGCGCCCUGGAACUCCCCGCGCGUGUUGUGACCCAGAAUUCCCGGGGCUGUGGAAGAGACCAUAGACUCAACAGGAGGGGGAGUCCUGGGUAGCGCGCCGGUCUAAAUCGUUACUUGGCGGAAAGUUCCCAUGAGUCUUUGCCAGCGUCCCCCUCCUUUUGUGAGGAUUGGGAUAUUCCGACUCCUUAAGGGCCUGGCGCACAUAAGGUGUGACCUUUUCAUUCCCGUUGUUAUGGAGGGCCACAUCUGCCAGAGCCUGGAGUCUGCGAAGGCCGGGACCCGGUUCCCCGGCCCACAGUGGGGGUGUGCAAACCCGAGAGAACUGGGUUGCAAAUUCGUGAAGAAUCAGCAUCAUGUUUGGCAGCUGAGUAUUGGAGCCAGGAGCCUGCCAUGAGGUUUUGAGAACAGAGUGCUGUUUUAGAGCUGGCAGCAGCAUCUCAGCCCAAGAGAAGGUUAUAUUCCCAGAGGAUGUCAGUCCCAAGGACCAGUAGCUGCCAUCAGUUUGGAUUCUGAAAACUAACUGGCAUCAACACUGGGUGUAGAAACAUGCUUGCCUUAUGUAUCAGAGGACAUGCUCAGCAGAUCCAAGAGAUAUAUUUGGCAACUUUUUCUAGAAAAGGCACAUUGGGUAUCAUUCAUUACAUUCUUGAGUUUUUUUGGGUUUUUUUUUUUUUUUUUGAGACAGUCUUGCUGUAUUGCCCAGGCUGGAGUGUGGUGGCACAAUCACAGCUCAUUGCAUCCUCAAUCACCCAGGCCUAAGCAAUCCUCCCACCUUGUAGCUGGGACUACAGCUCACAGCACACCUGGCUAAAAUUUUUUUUUUGUUGAGACGGAUUCUCUAUGUUGCCCAGGCUGGUCUCAGGCUCCUGGGCUCAGAUGGUCCUCCUGCCUCAGCUUCCAAAGGCACAGGCCAAGUUGUAGCUUUGUCCCUUGCCAUCAUGCCCAACAAGAGGUUCUAUACCUUUUAAUGAAUUGACUUUCAUAAAUUGGUUAUGUUGGUGGGCAAAGUUCUUUAAGCUGGAAAUUGUAAAUUCCUCCUGAAAUGUUUUUUCAUGCAGUUACCAUGAACUAAUACUACAAUAAAGGAUGGUCUUGGGUGUCAAUUCUUGAAAAUGUGUAUUUGAAGAAAAAGUAAAUUUCGCCUACUGUUGUCAGAUAUUAGCAGUCCAGAUAUUCGCUCUAGCUUGUAAACUUCCCUGUGGUCAGCCUAAGCUCUUAACCCCCUAUUCUACAGCUUUAGACUGAAGGCAAAAGCUCAAAGCAUUUAAGGCCUCCUCAAUUUCGGCCCCUGCUGCUCUGUGCUCUGUUCCUUGGUGUAGCUUUGUUCCAGCUCCUGCAGCAUUGCACCAUUCCUAACCACAACCUUAACAGCAUGUAGGGCCCCAUACUCUAGGCCCCAUCUUGCUGUCUUCCUGUGUUGGAAUCUUGCCUACCAAGGCCUGUCAAGAGGGUCCUCCCCCAUACUGUUUGCCCACAAGGUUCAAGAGUGAUUGGCUCCCAGUCUUCCUGGACUGAACUACUUGGAUCUAGGGGUUGCCUGUUAUUUAGAAGAGAUCCCUUAACUGGUAGGGCCCUUUCAGUAGGACAGUAUUUGGGUAAGGGGAGGGUAUAAGAUGAGAACCUUUGCUAAGUUAGGUUCCUUUGGGAGCCUCCAGUUUGUUUCUCCCUCUCCCCAGCCAUCUUGUUGGAUCUGCCAAGGGAUUGGACUCCUUCAUUGUCCUAGGUUUUUAAGGUUUUAAAGCCCACCUUCUGCAGUCGGUUUUCUGGAAUGUGUUGGUGGAUUACUUAAGAGUUAUGGGGAAAGAGUUCUUACGGCCUGUCUAGGUCAGUGAAGUCAUACUGGCAAGUGACAAGAAGGAAGCCAGGUUUGUCACUUACCCUGCAUGCUAAGGACAUCAGAGCCCACAUAGAAGUCUGGUAGUUUUUCAGCCAGCAGUGGGUAGGGAAGGUGGAUAGGGGAUUUCUGAACAGGACUUUAUGCCUGUAUGCAUGGGCACCAUGUCUGUCCUGAGCACUACCACAUGGCAUCGUAGGCUGCUCUGUCAAAGGAUAUAGCGAUAGCUGGUCCUAUGGGCAGAUGCCUAGAAUCAAGGUGGGCCUCAGAAAUAGGGCUGGGUCUCCAUAAGGAGGUAGGCCACGUUCAGUCCACCCCUAGCAUAGAUGGAACUGGGGUCUCGGGCAACCAGGAGUUACAGGAAUUUUGCUAAAGAUUCCCACCUUCCUUGAGUGGGGACACAUUCCUCUGGUUGGAGCUUGUUCCCCUAAAUGAAAAAUGUAAUGCAGUACAUGUAGGGGCCCUACUGUAUUCUUUUUCUGGGGGAAAGCUCUUGGUGUUCACAAUGGCUCAGGCUUACAGUACCUCCAGCCAUGUGCCCAUUUCCACAAGUCUUUGGGGAAGGCCAUGAGCUGAGCUGAGAGGGUUCUCUGGGGCCUGGGAUGACUUAAGAACCAAAUGGCAGAUAAUGGGAUAGGGGGCAGAUGCAGAGGACCAACGGGAAGUUUUAACACAAAUCCCCUUCCCCAGAUGAUAUGGUUUGCCUUUCUGUAGGUGGGUGGCCCAGGCCAAUUUUUGGCAAUAUCCUUAACCCACCUGAU